GCGCAACUAGUUAAUAUUUUUAUGUUUAUUUAUAAACGUAUAUGGAAGCACACGUUUGCAUAACCGAAUCAAAACGAAAAAAAACACCGAACAGCGACCUGGUUGACCCAGUAAUCCCGGAUCCAGGGGUCGAGAGCCGCCCCCGCACAAGCUGCAUCCCGCACGUCGGAUCGAUGUCCCGGACGCACCCCCGCCACGGCGCUUGCGUCCCGGCUGCAUCCCGUUGCAUCCCAGGGACCGGGUCCAGGUUCCCGUUGCACCUCGACCCGACAGCAAGCCGACGAAACGCCGCCCGCACCGGAGGACACAACGGGGCGAAGGCCUGGGGCGCCGCGGGAGCGGCGGCCACCGCGGCAUGUCUCCCGACACAGGGGACAGGAGAUGCGAGACGCGAGAUGCGGUUUCGCGUGUGCGAUCCAUCGAGGUAAUGAUCAGUUUAGCAUAAUAUCACCCCCUCAUCAAAAAAACCAAAAAUUACCAGGAACAAGAUCGUACGGAAUGCGAAGUGAAAGAGAGCUCUGCAACUCUAAAAACCUUCUUAUAUUUAUGUGUCCUCUUUCAAAACAUAUUAUCCACUAAUUAAAUCUGUAACCCGAUGUUAAUGAAAAUAAUGACUGUUAUUAGCAUUGUUGUCCGUCACAAAAAAAAACUUACAAUUAGUUAAUUAGGUCGCAAGUAAGGAAUACAAAGGUCUGUAAUCCAGAAGAUUACAAAUGUGACGGGCCGAACGCUCCGCCAGCACCACCGCCACAAUUCCGUGUCGCCGGACCGUUCGAGCCCCAUAAUACACCGGCCACCUCCCCGGUAUCUGUGCUCAUAAUAAAAAUCACCACCUGUACGACCUUUGCGACAGAUGCCGGGCGAGGCGGCUUACGGCAACGGGACGGCGUCGAGGCGGCCGCCAGACAUAGCUAACAUCAUUAAACCAACCUGACACGACGAGCCGACAGCAUCACCUACGUGUCGGGCGGCGUCGCGACGUCCAGCCACCCGUGGACCGCACCACUUGCGUGCACGCAUUUUCGAUUUUUGUGUGUUUAGAUUAUAUCAGUCUUGAUGUCGA